AGCCGAGCAUGCUGGAGUGAAAGCCCCCGGGGCCUGGCACCCCCCAAAAACGACCUCCCACCUCAAUCCCUGCCCCCAUUGCCCACGGCCCCCACGGGCUACCCCUCUUCCUCUUCCUUCACUCACCCCACCUCGUUACCUACGUGGCCGACCCAAAUUCAAAACAUUUUGUGUAUAUAUAAAUUUUUUUCUUUUCUACUACGUCUUUUUUUGGGGGGAUCCUCUCUAGAUCCCCAUAAGCGGACCUGCCAUACGGAGGAGGCAUUUGGGGACUCAGGAAGAAAUUAGCGCAGCUCCAUACCUGUACGGACUGCAUAGCUUUUAAACUCCUGGACUCAAAGAUAAGGAUCCACAUACACACAGGUACAGGAAAUACAGCCAGACCAAAGCCUUUUCAGACCCGAGCUGACCGGAAGACGUUGCCUUUCAUUCAUUCACUCUGCCCGCGUCUGUGGAGUCCUUUACUAGGCGACAAGCCCUGGAAGAGAAGUUGGACAUUUUUUAAAGGUCCCUGCGCUCGCCAAGCGGAGGAAAUAGAUGCUCAGGAGUGAACUACCGAGAGAAUCGGAUCGGGCGCCUCCUAACGCAGCUGGCAAACAUGCGAAGGUGGAACCCUUCACAGAUAUGCAUGUCAUCCUUGUGUAGUGGCCAUGCCAACCUUUGUAUUGUUCCAACUUUAGUAGACUGAGGCUCCAGACGCGCAGGCUCAGUGCAUGGCUUACGGGCCCAGCCGCCCCACG